rnacentral:rRNA from 1 species
UACGUAGGGACCAAGCGUUGUCCGGAAUCAUUGGGCGUAAAGAGCGUGUAGGCGGCUUGUUAAGUCUUGCGUGAAAUCUCGGGGCUCAACCCCGAGCGGUCGUGAGAAACUGGCAGGCUAGAGUGCGGGAGAGGAGAGUGGAAUUCCUGGUGUAGCGGUGAAAUGCGCAGAUAUCAGGAGGAACACCGGUGGCGAAGGCGGGUCUCUGGGCCGAUAUCGACGCUGAGGAGCGAAAGCGUGGGGAGCGAACAGG